rnacentral:rRNA from 1 species
UACGAAGGGGGCUAGCGUUGCUCGGAAUCACUGGGCGUAAAGCGCACGUAGGCGGACUCUUAAGUCAGGGGUGAAAUCCUGGAGCUCAACUCCAGAACUGCCUUUGAUACUGAGAGCCUUGAGUCCGGAAGAGGUAAGUGGAACUGCGAGUGUAGAGGUGAAAUUCGUAGAUAUUCGCAAGAACACCAGUGGCGAAGGCGGCUUACUGGUCCGGUACUGACGCUGAGGUGCGAAAGCGUGGGGGGCAAACAGG